rnacentral:rRNA from 1 species
UAAUACAGAGGUCUCAAGCGUUGUUCGGACUCAUUGGGCGUAAAGGGUGCGUAGGCGGCGCGGUAAGUCGGGUGUGAAAUUUCGAGGCUUAACUUCGAAACUGCAUUCGAUACUGCCGUGCUUGAGGACUGGAGAGGAGACUGGAAUUUACGGUGUAGCGGUGAAAUGCGUAGAUAUCGUAAGGAAGACCAGUGGCGAAGGCGGGUCUCUGGACAGUUCCUGACGCUGAGGCACGAAGGCCAGGGGAGCAAACGGGA